AAAUUGCCCGACUGUUAAUCGAAUAUUGCCCGACUGCCCAAAAAACUGGGGGGCUACCGCCCCCCCGCCCGGUACGCCUAUGAACGAGGUUGUCACGCCAUCCUGGCUAGUACAACCGGCACUUUGUACCUACCAAAACCUGAUAAAAACUUCCGGUUGUACUAGCCAGGUGGCUGAGUUAAAAUUUUCGUGGACGUAAAACAAUAAGGGAACCGACUCGAGUGACACUUCUGCUGUACCUUCUUAUUCUGUGCCCCUAAUGAUUCAUGGGAAUGCGAUAAAAAUUGAG